AGAGGCUGUGGAGUCGCCUCGCAGCAGCGAGCAGAGAGCGCCCUGCUCCCAGUCCCGGCUUGGAACUGAACUGUGUGAGUGCGGGUCCUGGAGCCCCGGCCCAGGAGCGGCGAGCCCGGAUCUGAGCCUGGGGAGCAGCGGUCAGCUUCUGAGGCCCUGAUUCGGGACCGAGCCGAGGCGCGGAGCGGGAGAGCCCGGCGGGCCGGCGCAGCGUCCGGCGAGUCAGGGAGCAGGACCGCGGAAGGCAGGGAGACGGCCGCAAGCAGAGGGCAGAGGGCAGAGUGCAGAGAGCGGCCUGGCUCGGCGGAGGGCGCCGCCCGGCCGGAUCCGAGCUCUCCGCCCGGGACGGCGGCCAGUGGUGGGGUGAGAAGCCGGGGUGGCCAAGAGUCCCAAGCGACUCCCCGGCUGGCGGCGGGGGGCGUGCCUCCUCCCAGCCCGGCGCGCCUGUCCGCGGAGUCGCCGGGGCAUGUGAGCGGGAAGCCCAGGCUGCCAGCCGCGAGGACCCGGACGGAGGAGGAGCAGGAGCGCGGAGCCGCGAGCAGCGAUCCCAGAGUCCGGCUGAGUAGGAACGGACCCCCACCUACCCCCCCACCCCCCACGCCGGCAGUGGAGGCUCCUCGCAGGCAGACCUAGGUCCUUGUGGAGAGAGGUGGCAGCCUGAUAAGAGAGGUGGCUGUGUGUCUGUGUCUGUGGGCGCACCACAAGAGCCGAGCUUGGGGUACCGCACCCCCCCACCCCCCAGUCGCCCGCUCCUCGUUCUCCAGCCGAGGGCCCUAGGUCUUUCUCACCAACCCGUCUGUGCGCCCAGUUCAAGGAUUUCCCGGUGGGAAGCGGAGGCGACCUGUGCGCGCCCUGCGUGGGGCUCCGGUGCCCGCGCCGAGGCGUAUAUCUACCCCUACCCUGAUUGUGUGGGGUGCCGGGGGCCAGCCAUGCAACCCUCCUCACCCUUUCAGGUUCGUUCCCCAGUGGACUAGCUGGGCUCUGCAUCCUGUUUGUUUUCUGCUCGGGCUGCUCCAGUUUCACCCCCCUCCCUCCUCCCAUCCUAGCCUCCUUCUUACCACCCCCCACCUCCCGCCUUUGGACGUCGGAGGUGAAUCUUUUCAUUCCUAUUUCACUGCAAAAGCAAAUCGUGCCUGGGGUUAGGGAGGUAGGGAGAUAAGGAGGUGGGAAAGGGGGCUAGUUGCUCUGUUCCCAGCGGCUCGCCAUUGUUUUCCCACCCCGCGCGUUCUGUACGUAAACACACACACACACACACCACACCACACCACACACACCACACACACACACGCACACACCCCUCUCGCGCGCGCACACACACACAUGUGCGCGCGCCGGCUGCUUCGUGUCCCCAGACGCGCAGGGAUCGCCCGCGGGAUUCUCCCAUCUGCCCGCCUGGUCUUCCAGGCUGGAGGUGCUCCAUUAACUGGAGCUGGGGAGGGUAAGAGACGAGGGGGUAGCCGGCGAUUCCCGGGCGAAGUUGAGAGCCGUGCCUGGGCGGGAAGUAAAUUUUGAACUUUAGCCCUGGACCUUUCCGGGAGGACCCCCAGCGCACGAGCGGUGGCUUCCCGCCCUGAAGGGCCGACGGCAGCUGCAAGGACUCCAGCGGCGCUCUUGGCAGCCGCCUCCGUGACAGGGACUAGGAGGAAGCCGAGGAGUUUUCCUGGGAAGUUUGAUUUGACUCUGUGGGAAUUUCCGGGCAGGGCGCCUUGGCGCUGACGCUGGUGAAGGGGUCUGGCGAAAGACAGCCGGAGAAGAUGCUGCUGCUCUGGGCGGAGUUUCCAGAGACCCUGCUUUCUACUGUGCUCCCUUGGGAAGUGGCACUGGAGAUGCUGAGAUUCAGCUUACUUUGGUCCUAAUUCCCCACCUAUGGGCCGCAUGAGCUUGGACAAGUCCCUUGACUUUUCUAGAUUUUUCCCGUGUGCAAAAUGGGCAGUUAUGCCCACAUCUUUGAAACUGGCAACUAAUGAUCAGUUAAGGUAUACUGGUUUGGAAGGUAUGAACUUCAGGAGGGUGGUUGGAUCGCUCAAAGUGUAGCUUAGUGGUUAAGAGACAAGGCUCUGGGAUUGGAGAUAUGAUCUUAAGAGGUUUAACCUUACUGCUCUUGUCUUAGUUUGCUCACCUGUAAAAUGGGUUUAAUAUGAACAGUACCUACCUCACAGGGUUGUCUUGAGGAUUAAAGUUCUUAAUAAAGUGAAGCUCAUACAAUAAAUAAAUGGUACCUGGUAUGUAGUGAGUGCUGGAGAAAUGUGCUCUGUUAUUGCCAUUAUUACAUAACUGACCUUGCAGAGAACCCAGAAAAGCAUUUUGAGGUUGCUCUCAUUUAAUCAAUUAAUAAUUGUCCACUUCUGGAAAGGAUGAAACCUCAACCUUCUCCCCACCCUUUCCUGAUUUAGCACCUCCCACCCUCCCUACUGCUUGUUUAGUUCCAUCUUGUGAAGUCUUUCAUCUUUUCUUUCUCCUUUCUCCCUUCUUCCCUCCCUCCCUUCACAGUUUUGGUGAAAGGCACUUCAUUCUCCCCUUUUCUUCAUUCUUAAAAAUCAUUCUUGGCCCAACUUCCAUGUUCUCUCAGUGGAAAUCAGGCUCCAGGAAGGAGCAUAUCCAUGAGCGUGUCCCCUGAGUGUCCUGGCCUGGGCUGCUGGCUCAGGAUUGGAUGUGCAUUUGUGUCUCUGGGGCCGAUGAAUUUCUGGAGAGAGGAGCUCAGGUGUCUGGGGCCCCGGGGAAGAGUCAGGUGGGAUGGGCUGAGGAUGUUCCUUGGGGAGCUCUGCUGCCUAGGUGGCAUCUGUGUCUCCUGCUGCUGGGGCUCUCUUGGGAACCUGGCAUAUCCCAGCUGCUUGGGCAGAGUGGAUGUGGGAGGAUGUAGGGUAAGUAAGGGGCAAAAGUUUUACCUUCAGUUUUCCACUGAGAGCGUUUACUAGGAAUUUGGUUUUGUCCAAGCUGCUUAUCUGAUUCUGGACAAAUGCACAACACAUGUAAGAGACAGUGAGGAAGAGCAGGCAGCCGCCGUCCACCCACCUGUCUUGGCCAAUGGGCUCCUCUCUCUCCUUUCUCUGACCCAGUCACACUGCCCCAGGCCUGGGAGAGGAUGGCCAGGAGGUAGGUUCUUGGUGUCUGGAGAUCCUGGGAGUGGGCUGUCAGUGAUGAGACCAGCAUUGCAGCCACCUUCAUUCAUCUCUUUAACAGAAAUUUGUUGAGCUACUAUUAUGUGCCAGGCCCUGUGUGAGGUAGCAGGCCUUCAUGAAUGAACAAGACAGAUCAUGUGCUUGCCUUCAGGGAACCUUCUUUCUAGAGGGAGGAGACUGGCAAUAAAUAACUGGAAAUAAGUAACCAAGACAAUAUUAGAUCCUAUGUGAUGUGAAAGAAAUAGGACACAGGGAUGUGACAGAGAGGAGGAGGCCAGUGACAGCCGCCCUGGGAGAGGCUCGCUCAGCUGAAGCCUGAAUGAUGCCAAAGGACCCACUGCACAAAGAUCUGAAGGAAGGAGAUUCAAGGCAGAAGGAACAGCAAAAGAAAAAUCCUUGCAGCCAGAACAGAGUUUGCAUCAGCAGUGGAGCUGGAGAGAGAGACUAGAGAAGCCAGGUGGCCCAGAGCCUGGUCAUGUGGGACCCAGUAGGACUAGUUAGGAGCCUGGAUUUCAUGGCCAGGGCGAUGGGAAGCCACUGGAGAGUUUUAAGUAGGGGAGUGACAUGAUCUGAUGUAUGGUUUUUAAAAGAUUAUUUGGUACAUGGGGGUGGGAGCUUAUUUGGUAAUCAGAGUUGUCCCAGGGGAGGGAAAUGGUGGCUGAGGGAUGAGGGAGAGAUGGUGUUUUCACUAUAGAAGCUUUUGUCCUUUUUGAAUGUAGGACCACGCACAUGUAUCACCUAUGCCAAAAACAAUCACCCCCCCCAAACCAAAAAACAUAGUUAAAAAAGAAUAAUAGCUUAAGCCUGGAAAAUGUGUAUAAU
ensembl:lncRNA